rnacentral:rRNA from 1 species
UGGGGAAUCUUGCACAAUGGGGGAAACCCUGAUGCAGCGACGCCGCGUGAACGAUGAAGCCCUUCGGGGUGUAAAGUUCUUUCGACAGGAACGAUAAUGACGGUACCUGGAGAAGAAGCUGCGUCUAACUACGUGCCAGCAGCCGCGGUAAUACGUAGGCAGCGAGCGUUGUUCGGAGUUACUGGGCGUAAAGAGUGCGUAGGCGGCGAGCCAAGUUUGGUGUGAAAUCUCCCGGCUUAACCGGGAGGGUGCGCCGAAAACUGGUUGGCUGGAGUAUGGGAGAGGAAAGCGGAAUUCCUGGUGUAGCGGUGAAAUGCGUAGAUAUCAGGAGGAACACCUGCGGUGUAGACAGCUUUCCGGACCAAAACUGACGCUGAGGCACGAAAGCGUGGGUAGCAAACA